rnacentral:rRNA from 1 species
GACGUAGGGCGCAAGCGUUGUCCGGAAUUAUUGGGCGUAAAGAGCUUGUAGGCGGUUUGUCGCGUCUGCUGUGAAAUUUCGGGGCUCAACCCCGAACUUGCAGUGGGUACGGGCAGACUAGAGUGUGGUAGGGGAGACUGGAAUUCCUGGUGUAGCGGUGAAAUGCGCAGAUAUCAGGAGGAACACCGAUGGCGAAGGCAGGUCUCUGGGCCACUACUGACGCUGAGAAGCGAAAGCAUGGGGAGCGAACAGG